AUUGGACGCUGGCGGCAUGCCUUACACAUGCAAGUCGAACGGUAACGGGCCUUCGGGUGCCGACGAGUGGCGAACGGGUGAGUAAUACAUCGGAACGUGCCCGAUCGUGGGGGAUAACGAGGCGAAAGCUUUGCUAAUACCGCAUACGAUCUACGGAUGAAAGCAGGGGACCGCAAGGCCUUGCGCGGACGGAGCGGCCGAUGGCAGAUUAGGUAGUUGGUGGGAUAAAAGCUUACCAAGCCGACGAUCUGUAGCUGGUCUGAGAGGAUGAUCAGCCACACUGGGACUGAGACACGGCCCAGACUCCUACGGGAGGCAGCAGUGGGGAAUUUUGGACAAUGGGCGCAAGCCUGAUCCAGCAAUGCCGCGUGCAGGAUGAAGGCCUUCGGGUUGUAAACUGCUUUUGUACGGAACGAAAAGCCUUCUUUUAAUACAGGAGGGUCAUGACGGUACCGUAAGAAUAAGCACCGGCUAACUACGUG
rnacentral:rRNA from 1 species